AACGAACGCUGGCGGCAUGCCUAACACAUGCAAGUCGAACGAAGCCUUCGGGCUUAGUGGCGCACGGGUGCGUAACGCGUGGGAAUCUGCCCUUGGGUUCGGAAUAACAGUUAGAAAUGACUGCUAAUACCGGAUGAUGUCUUCGGACCAAAGAUUUAUCGCCCAAGGAUGAGCCCGCGUAGGAUUAGGUAGUUGGUGGGGUAAUGGCCCACCAAGCUGACGAUCCUUAGCUGGUCUGAGAGGAUGAUCAGCCACACUGGGACUGAGACACGGCCCAGACUCCUACGGGAGGCAGCAGUGGGGAAUAUUGGACAAUGGGCGAAAGCCUGAUCCAGCAAUGCCGCGUGAGUGAUGAAGGCCUUAGGGUUGUAAAGCUCUUUUACCAGGGAUGAUAAUGACAGUACCUGGAGAAUAAGCUCCGGCUAACUCCGUGCCAGCCGCCGCUGUAAGAC
rnacentral:rRNA from 1 species